rnacentral:misc_RNA from 1 species
AACAUACACCACAAAGGAUGCCGACACCCGGCGAUCAUCUUACCCGGAGGACAAAAUCUGCGUGUGGCGGGCCGCGGGACAGAAACUAUUGAAGUAUUUACUGCCACGUAUCGCUACGACUAUUUCUUUUAAGGAGAGGUAUAGAGUUACUCUGUGCCUUUGUUAGAUAAAACGUUCAUCCCUUGACCGCGGCUACGUUCGGCGACCGAUUGUCGCCCCGAGCCCAAGCUCAUGAUCGCAAAUCUCGAACAAUCGGAGCAACA